GAUGAACGCUGACAGAAUGCUUAACACAUGCAAGUCGACUUGAACUUCGGUUUGGGUGGCGGACGGGUGAGUAACGCGUAAAGAACUUGCCUCACAGCUAGGGACAACAUUUGGACACGAAUGCUAAUACCUGAUAUUAUGAUUAUAUGGCAUCGUAUAAUUAUGAAAGCUAUAUGCGCUGUGAGAGAGCUUUGCGUCCCAUUAGCUAGUUGGAGAGGUAACAGCUCACCAAGGCGAUGAUGGGUAGCCGGCCUGGGAGGGUGAUCGGCCACAAGGGGACUGAGACACGGCCCUUACUCAUACGGGAGGCAGCAGUGGGGAAUAUUGGACAAUGGACCGAGAGGCUGAUCAAGCAAUUCUGUGUGCACGAUGAAGUUUUUCGGAAUGUAAAGUGCUUUCAGUUGGGAAGAAAAAAAUGACGGUACCAAAAGAAGAAGUGACGGCUAAAUACGUG
rnacentral:rRNA from 1 species